GACGAACGCUGGCGGCGUGCUUAACACAUGCAAGUCGAACGGACGAGUGAGAUAAGUUUACUUAACUCACAAGUUAGUGGCGGACGGGUGAGUAACACGUGGAUAAUCUACCUGCAACACCGGGAUAACGCUGUGAAAACGGUGCUAAUACCGGAUACGUUCCCUUGUGCGCAUGUAUGAGGGAAGAAAGCUCAGGCGGUUGCAGAUGAGUCCGCGGCUGAUUAGCUAGUUGGUGAGGUAAAGGCUCACCAAGGCGAUGAUCAGUAGCCGGCCUGAGAGGGUGAACGGCCACACUGGGACUGAGACACGGCCCAGACUCCUACGGGAGGCAGCAGUGGGGAAUCUUCCGCAAUGGGCGCAAGCCUGAUCCAGCCAUGCCGCGUGAGUGAUGAAGGCCUUAGGGUUGUAAAGCUCUUUCACCCACGACGAUAAUGACGGUAGUGGGAGAAGAAGCCCCGGCUAACUUCGUGCCAGCAGCCGCGGUAAGGAGU
rnacentral:rRNA from 1 species